AAUGCUUUCCACUGGCUGGCAAUGCAUUUUUGGGAGUUCUGCUUUUAAAUUAGCUAAUUCUCUUUCAUUGCUUGCUGUAGGCACCGUUAAGGAAGGAUACCUCAUGCUUUAUGGUUUCUUCUGAAAGAAAUGUUCGUACGGCAAUGUCAAGGACAAUGGUAUGAAGUAUCUGUGCAGCCUAGUAAAACCUAAAGCCAUGGCCAUGAUAUGGCACAUGAAGACAGAUGAAAAUUUGGAGGCAUCUCCACUGUCAUAGCCCUUGAAAAGGACACCAUCUUCCAAUCAUCUACUGGAUUAUUUUUGUUCUUACAGAUCUGCUGCUAAAGUACAGGAUAAUAUGAUUUUGAUUAAAUCACUCCUAUCCAGUGAUUCAACCCCAUGUGUAGUAUGAUGGUAAGUGCCUACUGCAGAGAGCUGCUUUGUGAAUUAAUUCCAGCAGUCUGCUUCACUAACCAAACAGGGGGUGACAUGGGGUUGCCAAUGUAGACUGUGACAGUCAAUGAUGGCACUGAUUUUUUCAUAUCUGGAGGACUGAUGACGAUUUACUGGGUGAAAGGUGUAUAGCAAGAGGAAAGUUAGAGAUUUCCUUGUCAAGCAUCCCUUCUGUCAAGAGGAAUUUCAUCUUAGACGUGAUGAUAACCACCAUUUCCUAACUGAAGAGUUAGAUUCCAUAAACCAGAUAUUCCUUGUGUGACUUUGUCUCUUUUCAAGCCAGUAUAUGUCUGUGUGCAAUCGGAGAUGCGUUUGCACAAAACAUGCAACCAUAUGAGUGUAAACCAGUCCAGCCUCAGGAAUUCUUUGCCUGCUUCACUGCAAAUUAACACAUUGGGAUUCAGGUAUUCUGAAAAUAAUCUACAACCACAGUGGUGCAAAUACUGCUGUGGUAACCUUGGUUGUUUCUCUGCCCAAAUGCAGCCACAGUCCCCUAAAGGGUGUUUCUGUCCCUCUUGCCACUUGUCAUUUACUGCUUUUUUGAACAGCAACAACAAAAAUUAGGUACAGGGUCUGUGUUUUGAAAAAAUAAUAUGAAAAAGAUUACCUAUAGUUAUCCAAAGGCAAUUCAAUAAUUUUAGUGGUGACUCACAUCUAAGUUAUUUGAUUUUCUUGGAACUGAUAUUAAUGUUCUGCUGAGUUCUCUUGAGAGCCUUUUCCUACAAGCUAACACGCUUCCUUUCAAUAUUUGUUUUUUAUAAAAAGCUUGUACCUACAUAAUUUAGGAUCACACUGAUUGCUCUUGUGGUGGGACUGAAAACUGAUUGGAAAAUACAUUAUAUGCUAUAUUAUAUUACAUAUGACAUUGUCAACACUAAGUCUCCAACCAAGAAAACAAGAUGGACAAUGUACCCUCCUUUGGUAUGCAGCUUCUAAUUUGUCUCAGCUGUUUCUCCUGAAUAUCAAAAUAUUAUUUUUUGGACUGUUUCUUGCAAAUAGAAUGAAGGUGAAACUACUUGUACUUUCCUAUGCUUUCACUGAAUUUUAACCAAAUACAGAACCAUAAUUUUCAAGUGCCCCUCCUUGAGUUUUCUUCCAAUUCUAAAUCAUUGUUUAAUGGGUCUGUGAAUGUACAUACUCAACCUUCUUACUGAAUAUUUGCUUGGCUUUGUCAAUAGUGCAGACAUGAUGCAGGUUCUUAAAAUUUAAUUAUGUUUGCAUGCUUUAUUUGAAGUAUUUUCUUGUACCUGUCUUUUCAAAGAAGCAGAAGAUAAAAAAAUAUGAAACAAGAGGGCUCAAAGAAUGCACUAAUUCACAUUUUCUUUCUUUCUGCAUUUCUGUUUUCUCUCAGUGUCUUUUUGUGUAAAUCUCUACUUUUCAAUUGUAGUGCUGUUAGUAAGAAGCAUCAGAAGAAAGAUUUCCUCCCAGUUCCUCCCAGGAAUAAAAAGGUCUUGGUGGAUCAACAUAUGUCGGGUGUCUGAUGACUAGGACAGUCAAACUCUCAUGCUCUGAAAGAGGUACAAAUUAAGAAAUGGAGAAUGAUGGAAUCAACUUGUGAUGGAUCAGAAUUGCAUGUAUUAACAUGAAUUUCUUGUUAAUGGAGAAGACAAGCAUUAUCCAUAAAUGAAUUCUGAACAGGAGGCCUUCUAUUGCUGACACUAAUAACUAUAAUCUCCCUCUGUUUUGAUGGCCUCUGGAAUAAUACAGUUCAUUACAGAGCAACGCAAGACUAAUUUUUUUUAAGUACUUGAUAUAGCAUUUACAUUGUCUUUUAAUAUUGCCAUCAUUAUCUCUGUCAUUUGAAAUUCAGAUGUGGGAAGGCUUUUUUUUUUACUCCUAAACAAGCUAUGCUGUGGAGAUGGCAUAGACACUCUGUGCUCAAUGUAUAAUGUACCUUUAG
ensembl:lncRNA